rnacentral:tRNA from 1 species
GUAAGGGUGGUGCUGUUGCUGCUUUAGGAGCAGUUGACGGGUGUUAUACACCCCCCAUUCA